AGGGUCAAAGUCAUCUCCUGGCAGGAAAGGCUCAGAGAGCCUGGUCACUCUCCCCCCACAUGAUUGGAGCAACAACGAGGUGACUCAUGCUUCCCUCAGAGGUCGGAAACCUCGUUAGAAAAUGUCCUGUGGCUUCUCCUGUAUGCUCAGUCAGGACGAGGGAGCCCUGGAUUUAACUGUCAAGCAGCCCUGACUGUGACCACUUCUCCCCCGGAGCGAGCACAGUCUGCCCUGCGCGAGGUCGCAGUGGACCAGUCAGGACUCGGCACCGCUUCCUCGUGGACAAAACAAGGACUCAUCACUGAUUUCAGACCGGCGUUGGAGUGCUCAUCUGUGCCAGUGGCUGCUGAGCUACUGAGAUGGGAAAGACGGGCUGCUUCCCAAUGACACUGCAAAGCGAGUCUCCCGCCUCCCUGCUUUGUGGGAAUGUCAAAGGAUCAAGCACAUAGGAUACAUUUUAGAAGCUACAAGGAACCAAAGGAAAGGAUGGUGUCUGGUGUGACUUAAGCAUUCCACUCUAACGGUGCGCCUCUCCAAAACCCUCACACGGAGGUGGCUCUGCCCUGGACCAUCCUCCGCAAUGGCUCAUCGCUGCCCAGCGUUUAUGACAAUUACAUUUGCAAACUAUCGCCUCAUUGGCUUGUGACAUCCACCCGGCUGGGACAGUGCAGAGGAGAGAAAGAGACUACUGCAGUUCGUUACAGGGACACAAAGAGAAUGAAGCAGAUCAGUGAGCAGUGCCCUAAAGGAGGGCCAAGCAGGAGAGGGCUGGAGUGAGGGCUGGAUUCCCUUUUCUCUCCUCCCUGGGAAUCCUGAACAGGAGGAGGAGAGCAGGCGGGUCAGAUGUGUGUGGACUGUUUCCGUGGGCGCAGUGGAUGAGCGUGCUGGUGCCGUGGCUGGGGUUCUGGGAAGAGACCGGUGCAGAGGCCCCGUCGCUGCUGUGUGGCAGCCACACUCAGGCUGGUUCCCAUGGCGACGAGAGCCUCAGGGCCAGCGUCGGCAUCAACAGAGCAUCUGACUGGGAGGACGUUUCUCAGCUUUCGUAAUGCUCUGGCACCAGGGCUGCGAGCGUCGGGGGAGCUUUCGUGCUGGUUUUCCGCAGGCCCAGCUCAUCGCAGUCCCGGUUGGAGGUUUCCUGAAGCCGGUGCUGUAGCAGUUUCCUUCUCCACUGCAUGCAGAAGGCGGCAACUUCCAGCUCCUCCGCAUCGGAGGACAGCUGUCUCAAACCCUGGCGGAGGGAAAGACAGGUGAACCUGGGGGACACUGCACACUCUCCCCGCGUCCGCUGACCGGAGCUCUAGGGGAUUCCUCUGAGAAGCUGGGCUGGUUUCCUGAUGGUCUCGCUUUGCUUUAACAGAGAUCAGGGAGAUCAGAGAUCAGUGUUCGGAGAGGUCCUCUGGGUGGGCACCCACUCAUUCUGAAAGGAGAAGCACAACAGCGCAAAGAGCCUUAUAUUCGUCAACAUAAGAUGUUCUGAGGCCCUGACCGGUUUGGCUCAGUGGAUAGCGCGUCGGCCUGUGGACUCAAGGGUCUCAGGUUCGAUUCCGUUCAAGGGCAUGUACCUUGGUUGUAGGCACAUCCCCAGUGGGGGUUGUGCAGGAGGCAGCUGAUUGAUGUUUCUAACUCUUUCUUCC